UCCCUAGGAAACAUGGGCUGGCUGCACC
rnacentral:piRNA from 1 species